rnacentral:rRNA from 1 species
UACGAAGGGGGCAAGCGUUACUCGGAAUUACUGGGCGUAAAGGGUGCGUAGGUGGUUGUUUAAGUCUGUUGUGAAAGCCCCGGGCUCAACCUGGGAAUGGCAAUGGAUACUGGACAGCUAGAGUGCGGUAGAGGGUAGUGGAAUUCCCGGUGUAGCAGUGAAGUGCGUAGAGAUCGGGAGGAACACCAGUGGCGAAGGCGGCUACCUGGACCAGCACUGACACUGAAGCACGAAAGCGUGGGGAGCAAACAGG